GUGAUCCUAAGCAGAGGUGGAACAAGUCAUCAGAGAGGAAGCUGGUGGCCUGCCUCCUACAUCCUCGGCAACAGCAUGGUGGGGAUGAGGCUCCAAGCUGGCAGGGUGCAGGAUGGAUGGCUCCUUGGACCGGGGGGAUGCUGCUGUACCGCCCUGACGAGGUGUUGGAUUGCCAUGGCAUGUGCCAUCUUGCACAAUCUGGCGCACCGCCAUGGCAUCCCACUGUGUGAAGUUGAGGAGCCAGCAAACGAGCCAGCACCACUCCUUGUGCAACCCCAUCCAGCUGCCGUUCGGGCCUAACAACGUGUAAUUGACAUCAUAUAAAUGGAAGUCAAGAGCAGCCUGCGCCAACUUCAAGAUUGAGGUUCUUCAGGUGGGAGGGAUGAGAAUAUGACCCCAGAGGUUACCGGUGUGGCCUCAUCUGAAUUAAAUAAAAUUGUAA